rnacentral:rRNA from 1 species
GAUGAACGCUGGCGGCGUGCCUAAUACAUGCAAGUCGAGCGAACGGACGAGAAGCUUGCUUUUCUGAUGUUAGCGGCGGACGGGUGAGUAACACGUGGAUAACCUACCUAUAAGACUGGGAUAACUUCGGGAAACCGGAGCUAAUACCGGAUAAUAUUUUGAACCGCAUGGUUCAAAAGUGAAAGACGGUCUUGCUGUCACUUAUAGAUGGAUCCGCGCUGCAUUAGCUAGUUGGUAAGGUAACGGCUUACCAAGGCAACGAUGCAUAGCCGACCUGAGAGGGUGAUCGGCCACACUGGAACUGGAACACGGUCCAGACUCCUACGGGAGGCAGCAGUAGGGAAUCUUCCGCAAAGGGCGAAAGCCUGACGGAGCAACGCCGCGUGAGUGAUGAAGGUCUUCGGAUCGUAAAACUCUGUUAUUAGGGAAGAACAUAUGUGUAAGUAACUGUGCACAUCUUGACGGUACCUAAUCAGAAAGCCACGGCUAACUACGUG